CCUACGGGCGGCAGCAGUGGGGAAUAUUGCACAAUGGGCGCAAGCCUGAUGCAGCCAUGCCGCGUGUGUGAAGAAGGCCUUCGGGUUGUAAAGCACUUUCAGCGGGGAGGAAGGCGUUAAGGUUAAUAACCUUGGCGAUUGACGUUACCCGCAGAAGAAGCACCGGCUAACUCCGUGCCAGCAGCCGCGGUAAUACGGAGGGUGCAAGCGUUAAUCGGAAUUACUGGGCGUAAAGCGCACGCAGGCGGUCUGUCAAGUCGGAUGUGAAAUCCCCGGGCUCAACCUGGGAACUGCAUUCGAAACUGGCAGGCUAGAGUCUUGUAGAGGGGGGGAGAAUUCCAGGUGGAGCGGUGAAAUGCGUAGAGAUCUGGAGGAAUACCGGUGGCGAAGGCGGCCCCCUGGACAAAGACUGACGCUCAGGUGCGAAAGCGUGGGGAGCAAACAGGAUUAGAUAGCCGGGUAGUG
rnacentral:rRNA from 1 species